CUCAGAGGUAAUAAUGUUUAAAAGAUGCUGUGAAAGUAGUGACUGAUGGAAGAGGGAGACAUUCUAGGUGACUUGACUGAAGAAAGGGCUUCCAGCAUGAAAGAUUGCAGCUGCCUACCUUGUCUACUUGUCAAGCUGAAGCAGUUCCUUUGCUCACUCUCAUCUGGAUACAAUGUCUUCAAACGACAGUGCAACCACCUUCUAAAUAGCAGCUGUUCAAAUGAUUCAGGUACAGAGAAAGUCUUGACUCACGGUGCUGUUACUGGAUCAGCCCAGUCUCCCUAAAGGAAAGAGUCCAAGGAGUCCAAACAAGUAAAUAAAAUAAAGCUAUCUGGAAGCUCUUCCUGGCCUGAUCUAGUCUACCCGGACAUGUCUAAGAAGCUCCUGUUCAAUACAGAAAAUAGAUCUGGGCGCUUGUGUCCAAAACAUAAUCCUUUUGCAUAUGUUGGGAAAUGCUCAAAUCCUACCUUACAAGUGAGUAAUUAUGCUUAUUUCUUCUGCUUACAGUUCUAUAUUUUAUGGGUAAUUUAGUGGAUUCAGGUUUUUGAAAAUGAAUGCCCUCAUUUUUUUUUUUUUUAAUUAUUAUUAUUACAUCAGUGUUGCAUUUUACUAAAUAAACAUUACAAAGAUGCUCAAUCUCUCUCUAGUUACUUAGAUUCAAAAGAAACCACAAGACUUGCUGAAGAACUGAAUAUUCAAUGGAUUUUCCUACUGCUCCUUGUACCAAAUACUUCAUUUCAUCGUUUUCUCUCAGGAGAUAUACUGUGCGGUUCACUGAAGUCAUUCACAUUUUAUAUUGACUCGCACCUUCACAAAUUGUAUGAAAAUUCAUGCAGUGUCAGAAUUAGACAGUGAUCCUUAAUGCUUACUCUAUAACUACUUUUGGCAUUUUAUAAAUGGAUUUAAGAUUCUAGAGUAAUUCAUGUGAAAAACUUAUUAAGCUAGUAUUUUAAAGAUACAAAAUUGCUGAUAAUGUUUUUCUCUCUAUAAACACAGGAACAUGUAUGUGAAGGAUCCCCCUACUAUUUUAAAAUAAUGUAAAAGUCUUGAAUUAUCUGUUAAUUCCAUUAUAUUUAAUAUUGUUGAAAAUGUCUAUCACAUAAAUAAGACCCAGUUUGACACUACAUUUAUUUUCAGUACAAGGAUUGUGUUUUAAUCUGCUAUUACUUCUUUUUCAGGUGACACCCUUUCCUCUGUUUAUGAAAGGAAGACUUUAAAGAUACUUUUUAAACAACUUUUAAAUAAUUUGCAAUAUAGUAAACUACAGGUAAUCUUUGCUGUCAAAAAAUAAGAUUUUAAAUAAGUGAAAUAUGUCUAAAGUCUCUGGAAAAAUAGUUUUUCUUUUUAAAAGACAGAAUUUUCAGAAAUAAUUUUCUUAUCUGAAAGAAAACUGACUAUAAUAUUAAAGUGUUAGGUGUUUUCAAAUUCGGUAUGUUUUGUGGAAGCAAUAUUCAAACAAAAGCCUAUAGAAACCUUUAGAAUCAAAUAUUUUCAACCGCAGUAUUUGAGAAAAAAUGCUAGGGAACUUUCUGUCAGUUCUCUUUCUGGUUAAUAAUAAAUGUUCUUCAAAGUGUUCUACAGUAUUUUAUUACAAAUUAAUUCAUAUUUUGUUCUUUUAUUAAAAACAAAUUAUUUUAACUCAUUCUCUGUGGAUUUCUCCACUUUGAAUUAGUUCCAUCCCAUUCCUGCAUAGCAAUCAUUAAAAAGGAUUAUUUAAGUCACAGUUAUUUCAUACAAUGUUGUAGCACAUCCUAAACCAUUUGGAAAGAGGAGUAUCCCAUAGUAACACCAGGGAAUGUGGAGAGCAACAUUUGAUAUUAUAAUUGCCAGUGUAAUAUUUUGACUGAAG